rnacentral:rRNA from 1 species
GAUGAACGCCAGCUACAGGCUUAACACAUGCAAGUCGAGGGGGAACGACAUCGAAAGCUUGCUUUUGAUGGGCGUCGACCGGCGCACGGGUGAGUAACGCGUAUCCAACCUGCCCACCACUUGGGGAUAACCUUGCGAAAGUAAGACUAAUACCCAAUGACGUCUCUAGAAGACAUCUGAAGGAGAUUAAAGAUUUAUCGGUGAUGGAUGGGGAUGCGUCUGAUUAGCUUGUUGGCGGGGUAACGGCCCACCAAGGCGACGAUCAGUAGGGGGUCUGAGAGGAAGGUCCCCCACAUUGGGACUGAGACACGGUCCAAACUCCUACGGGAGGCAGCAGGGAGGAAUAUUGGUCAAUGGGCGAGAGCCUGAACCAGCCAAGUAGCGUGCAGGAUGACGGCCCUAUGGGUUGUAAACUGCUUUUAUAAGGGAAUAAAGUGAGUCUCGUGAGACUUUUUGCAUGUACCUUAUGAAUAAGGACCGGCUAAUUCCGUGCCAGCCGCCGCAGUAA